CUCUGCCUACAGCUUCCGGUACAGAAGAGAGGAGAAGAAGAAGAAGGAAGCCGGCGGUACAAGCUAACAUUAGCAGUAGUAGAAGCUAACAAUAGCAACGGUAGAAGCUAGCGUUAUCAGCAGUAGAAGCUAGCAUUAGCAGCAGCUGCUCGGCGGCGAUAAAUCCGUUUAUUCUGAUAUUUAAAUGAUUAAAUGUGUGACCGUUAGUGCGGCUAACGGCUAACAGGAGAGGAACCACGGCGACGGCUUGUCAGUGUCUCUGAUAUGAGCAGCUCUGUUCAGAGGAAGAGGAGGAGCACAGGAAGUCCUCGGGUUUCCAGCACCAAGACCAGCAGAGCUAACGCUAGCAGGACGGCGAGCCGGGCGGCGAGCAGGGCGGCUAGUGUUAGCGGGACGUCCGAUGCUGACCCCCCAUGUGAUGGACCCCCCCGAGGACAGUGUGGAGGAGGUGGUGGAUCUGACCUGUGAGGGAUCUGAAGCUGCUGCUGUGGUCGACCUGACCAACAACGACUCUGUGCUGGUG